AUUGGACGCUGGCGGCAGGCUUAACACAUGCAAGUCGAGCGGAGAUGAGGUGCUUGCACCUUAUCUUAGCGGCGGACGGGUGAGUAAUGCUUAGUAAUCUGCCUAUUCGUGGGGGACGACAUUCCGAAAGGAAUGCUAAUACCGCAUACGGCCUACGGGAGAAAGCAGGGGAUCUUCGGACCUUGCGCUAUUAGAUGAGCCUAAGUCGGAUUAGCUAGUUGGUGGGGUAAAGGCCUACCAAGGCGACGAUCUGUAGCGGGUCUGAGAGGAUGAUCCGCCCCACUGGGACUGAGACACGGCCCAGACUCCUACGGGAGGCAGCAGUGGGGAAUAUUGGUAAAUGGGGGGAACCCUGAUCCAGCCAUGCCGCGUGUGUGAAGAAGGCCUUAUGGUUGUAAAGCACUUUAAGCGAGGAGGAGGCUACUGAGACUAAUACUCUUGGAUAGUGGACGUUACUCGCAGAAUAAGCACCGGCUAACUCUGUGCCAGCCGCCGCGGUAAUAC
rnacentral:rRNA from 1 species